rnacentral:rRNA from 1 species
GACGAACGCUGGCGGCGUGCUUAACACAUGCAAGUCGAACGGAAAGGCCCCUUUGGGGGUACUCGAGUGGCGAACGGGUGAGUAACACGUGAGUAACCUGCCCUUGACUUCGGGAUAACUCCAGGAAACUGGGGCUAAUACCGGAUAGGAAUCCUUGCUGCAUGGUGGGGGUUGGAAAGCUUCGGCGGUUUUGGAUGGACUCGCGGCUUAUCAGCUUGUUGGUGGGGUAGUGGCUUACCAAGGCUUUGACGGGUAGCCGGCCUGAGAGGGCGACCGGCCACAUUGGGACUGAGAUACGGCCCAGACUCCUACGGGAGGCAGCAGUGGGGAAUAUUGCACAAUGGGCGGAAGCCUGAUGCAGCAACGCCGCGUGCGGGAUGACGGCCUUCGGGUUGUAAACCGCUUUCAGCAGGGGCGAAGCUUUUGUGACGGUACCUGCAGAAGAAGCACCGGCUAACUACGUG